rnacentral:rRNA from 1 species
UACGGAGGGUGCAAGCGUUAUCCGGAUUCACUGGGUUUAAAGGGUGCGUAGGCGGGCAAGUAAGUCAGUGGUGAAAUCUCCGAGCUUAACUCGGAAACUGCCGUUGAUACUAUUUGUCUUGAAUAUUGUGGAGGUAAGCGGAAUAUGUCAUGUAGCGGUGAAAUGCUUAGAUAUGACAUAGAACACCAAUUGCGAAGGCAGCCCCCUGGGAUGAUACUGACGCUCAUGCACGAAAGCGUGGGGAGCAAACAGG